rnacentral:lncRNA from 1 species
UCCACGUGAACGUGUAUGAAUUCUCCUUCCCUUUAUGCAAAGCAUCAACAUCGAACUGCCAAGGGCGACCUAGCAAAAUUCCACAGCAAUCCAUAUCCACAACAUCACAAUUAACAAGUUCAGUAUAAGAUUUACCGAUCGAGAUAGGCACGCUGCAGAUUCUGUUGACCUCAAUUGUCGGACCUUCCUUAAUCCAUCCGACUUUGU